GCUGGAAUUCACCCUUAGAGUUUGAUCCUGGCUCAGGAUGAACGCUGGCGGCGUGCCUAACACAUGCAAGUCGAGCGAUUCUCUUCGGAGAAGAGCGGCGGACGGGUGAGUAACGCGUGGGUAACCUGCCCUGUACACACGGAUAACAUACCGAAAGGUAUGCUAAUACGAGAUAACAUAAGAAAUUCGCAUGUUUUUCUUAUCAAAGCUCCGGCGGUACAGGAUGGACCCGCGUCUGAUUAGCUAGUUGGUGAGGUAACGGCUCACCAAGGCGACGAUCAGUAGCCGACCUGAGAGGGUGAUCGGCCACAUUGGAACUGAGACACGGUCCAAACUCCUACGGGAGGCAGCAGUGGGGAAUAUUGCACAAUGGGCGAAAGCCUGAUGCAGCAACGCCGCGUGAGCGAUGAAGGCCUUCGGGUCGUAAAGCUCUGUCCUCAAGGAAGAUAAUGACGGUACUUGAGGAGGAAGCCCCGGCUAACUACGUGCCAGCAGCCGCGGUAAUACGUAGGGGGCUAGCGUUAUCCGGAUUUACUGGGCGUAAAGGGUGCGUAGGCGGUCUUUUAAGUCAGGAGUGAAAGGCUACGGCUCAACCGUAGUAAGCUCUUGAAACUGGAGGACUUGAGUGCAGGAGAGGAGAGUGGAAUCCCUAGUGUAGCGGUGAAAUGCGUAGAUAUUAGGAGGAACACCAGUAGCGAAGGCGGCUCUCUGGACUGUAACUGACGCUGAGGCACGAAAGCGUGGGGAGCAAACAGGAUUAGAUACCCUGGUAGUCCACGCCGUAAACGAUGAGUACUAGGUGUCGGGGGUUACCCCCCUCGGUGCCGCAGCUAACGCAUUAAGUACUCCGCCUGGGGAGUACGCUCGCAAGAGUGAAACUCAAAGGAAUUGACGGAAGG
rnacentral:rRNA from 1 species